GUGGGGAAUUUUGCGCAAUGGGGGAAACCCUGACGCAGCGACGCCGCGUGAGUGAUGAAGGCCUUCGGGUUGUAAAGCUCUGUCAGGUGGGAAGAAAUUCCCUCUGGCUAAUAUCCAGGGGGAUUGACGGUACCAUCAGAGGAAGCACCGGCUAACUCCGUGCCAGCAGCCGCGGUAAUACGGAGGGUGCAAGCGUUGUUCGGAAUUACUGGGCGUAAAGGGGGUGUAGGCGGCCAGGUAAGUCAGAUGUGAAAGCCCUCGGCUUAACCGAGGAAGUGCAUUUGAAACUGCUUGGCUUGAGUAUGGGAGAGGAAGGUGGAAUUCCCGGUGUAGCGGUGACAUGCGUAGAUAUCGGGAGGAACACCGGUGGCGAAGGCGGCCUUCUGGCCCAAUACUGACGCUGAGACCCGAAAGCGUGGGGAGCAAACAGGAUUAGAAACCCGUGUAGUCC
rnacentral:rRNA from 1 species